CAGAAAAAUACUAGACAGUUAUCGAUUAUUGCUCUUGUAAACAAAAGUUAAGUUAAGUCUAAGUCUAAGCUAAGUCUUUUUUCUGACUUAGGCAUAAAAAUUUUGUGACGCCGCUCCUGGAACCCUCAUCCGGUGCGAAACGGAGGCUUGGACGACAGGGAGACCUCCAAGCAUCGGCAACGCAAGCGCGGCAUCGUCUCGUCCCUCCCUUCCUGGCCGAAUCCAGCCGAUGCCACUCUAAGACGAACGGCGACGCAUAUGCUUCUUUCUGUGAAUGAUAUGAAACUCCUGGCUGAUUUUAAUAUUAUUUUAUUUUCAGGUUUAUGUUUUGUAGGUUUGGCGAUCAAGCGUCAGGAAUCCAGUUAGGUUCGAUUGGUCCAUUGGGAGGUUUGCGUUGAGUUUGGCUAAAUUAAUUUAUUUAGAGGUUUGUGUUGAAUUUGGUAAGUCAGUUUAUUUCUGUUUUGGCUGUUUUUGAUUGUAUUUUAUUUGCAGGUUUUGAUUGGUUUGUUUGGAAGGUAGCGUAGU